AUUUUACAUACGGGACAUUGCAGUCGUCAUGUUGUUGGUCGUUUGAAACAGCGCGCUUGAAGGACACAGUUAUGGUCUUUUCGCAAAUCAAUGCAAGAUAAAGCCACAGCAAAACAUCAACAUUAUGCUGUUAAAAGUGCAGUACCAACAUCACAAAAAGUACAUAAAGCUUACUGGAUCGUCUUAUGAUUCUGUAAUCAAGGAUGUCAAGCAGAAGUUUGACAUCUCCACAGAUCAUAAGGUUUUUUUGGCUGACGAGACUGGAACAGAAGUAGAUGAAGAUGUUUUUGCUGACAUUAUUGAGCAGAAGCCUGACACUCUU